rnacentral:rRNA from 1 species
UACGAAGGGUGCAAGCGUUGUUCGGAAUCAUUGGGCGUAAAGCGCGCGCAGGCGGAUUGAUAAGUCAGGUGUGAAAUCUCGAGGCUCAACCUCGAAACUGCGCCUGAAACUAUUAGUCUAGAAUGUCGGAGGGGGCAGGGGAAUUUCACGUGUAGGGGUAAAAUCCGUAGAGAUGUGAAGGAACACCGGAGGCGAAGGCGCCUGCCUGGACGACUAUUGACGCUGAGGCGCGAAAGCGUGGGGAGCAAACAGGAUUAGAUCCCUAGUAGUCC